AUUGAACGCUGGCGGCAGGCCUAACACAUGCAAGUCGAACGAGUGGCGGACGGGUGAGUAAUGUCUGGGAAACUGCCUGAUGGAGGGGGAUAACUACUGGAAACGGUAGCUAAUACCGCAUACCAUCAGAUGUGCCCAGAUGGGAUUAGCUAGUUGGGGGGGUAACGUCUCACCAAGGCGACGAUCCCUAGCUGGUCUGAGAGGAUGACCAUCCACACUGGAACGGAGACACGGUCCAGACUCCUACGGGAGGCAGCGGUGGGGAAUAUUGCACAAUGGGCGCAAGCCUGAUGCAGCCAUGCGGCGUGUAUGAAGAAGGCCUUCGGGUUGUAAAGUACUUUCAGCGGGGAGGCGUUACCCGCAGAAGAAGCACCGGCUAACUCCGUGCCAGCAGCCGCGGUAAUAC
rnacentral:rRNA from 1 species